GACGGAGGGGGCUAGCGUUGUUCGGAAUGACUGGGCGUAAAGGGCGCGUAGGCGGUUAAUUAAGUGAGGCGUGAAAGCCCUGGGCUUAACCUAGGAAUAGCGUUUCAUACUGGCUAACUAGAGUGCGAGAGAGGAAAGUGGAAUUCCUAGUGUAGAGGUGAAAUUCGUAGAUAUUAGGAAGAACACCAGUGGCGAAGGCGGCUUUCUGGCUCGUAACUGACGCUGAGGCGCGAAAGCGUGGGGAGCAAACAGG
rnacentral:rRNA from 1 species